rnacentral:rRNA from 1 species
CACGUAGGGCGCGAGCGUUGUCCGGAAUUAUUGGGCGUAAAGAGCUCGUAGGCGGCCUGUUGCGUCCGCUGUGAAAGCCCGGGGCUUAACCCCGGGUCGGCAGUGGAUACGGGCAGGCUAGAGGUAGGUAGGGGAGAAUGGAAUUCCCGGUGUAGCGGUGAAAUGCGCAGAUAUCGGGAAGAACACCCGUGGCGAAGGCGGCACUCUGGGACGGUACUGACGCUGAGACGCGAAAGCGUGGGGAGCGAACAGG